CCACAUCCCUGCACCCUCCCACCAGGCUGUGCUCCUCCUCACUGUCACACCAAGAACAGUCCCUGGCCACAGUGGCAAAGUGAUUAAGAUUCUGCCGUGAUGCGACUGCAGCACUUCGCAAAUGGAAGACUGGACAUAAUUUCCCUAAAAUGCUGUUUUUUAUCACCUAUUUCCCCUUCAUCAGCUUGCCGCACACGAUUGAUAGCUGAUGGCACCUCUGACAACUUAACGAUUUUAUGGUUAGAUUUAUGGGCUAUCUGCUCCUCUCCUUUUACAGCCCAAACUCUGUAAAAAUGCUUAUUUCUCAGAUAAGGAGAGGGAGGGCGCGCGUCCAUGUGUAUGGAAUAGUAUCAUUGCCAGCAAAAUGAGUGUAGGAGAGAGAUGAGCCCCUACACUGCAUUGCAGCCAAGAAGAAGCCGUCUUUGACUUCAUAGCCUUUUGAAAGCCUAAAUGACGUCGGCACAUCACCAUAUGUUCAAUAACACUGCUCGGAUAGUGACUAACUCUCAUCAGCUCUUAAUCACCACAUCACAAAGCAUCAAGCAUCAUCUGUUGUGGUGGGAUCAUGGAAUAUUUUUCAUUUUACCCUGUGGCAGGGGAAUACAAUAACAGCACCAAGAUGCAAGUUGGCAUUUUUCAUUUUACACCACAUUAAUGGGCGGCUUGGGACGGACUUAGACGGCUGCGGAGGUGGUUAGGCCACUCCAGGAACACCUCACAACCUGGAGAGAUUUACGGCCAAGUCGAGGCUCCCAGUUAGCCUUCUCCUCGUCUCCGCUGAUGUGCCUGGCAGUUCCCAGACGGACAUCCCUGGGGACUAGAGUGAGGCAGAGAGGGGGUGGGAGAGAGGGGAAAAAAAGAGAGAAAACCAGUCUGGUGAGAUCAGUGAAUCAAAGACAGCCAAGGAGGACACACCCAGGAAUGGGGUAAUACCACACAUGUUUUAACGGGGAGCGUCCAUAAUUCAUGACAGUUACCAAGGAUACUUGGAGCACUUCGGGAGGGAGGCUGCAGAAAUCGCAACUAGUACAUGUUAUUCAGCGCAGCAAAUGCACGGGUGGCGGUCUAAUUAAUAUUCAAGCCAACAGAGAACCUGACCUCGUUAGUAACGCGCAAUCUGCGCUGAAAUCAAACCAGCACAUUUGUGGUCUGCAGGUUUGAAAAUCACUUCAUUUUGCAAUCUUUGUACUCGGUUUGUUAGUAAGAGAACUGAGAAAAUGUCACAAUUUGUUCAGCAAGAUUAGCAUGCGCUGUUUGAAUUUUGGAUAAUUUACUGUAGUGUAGGAUUAGGUUUCCUACACAUGCUGCCCAUAUAAUGCUUCAAAAAUGUCUGUCAACCCUGGCUUGGAGUUAAUUGUGGGCUUUGUGGCUGUAAAGGAUGUUUGGUCACUCAGUCAUGUCAGGGCUAAAACUGUGUGUUUAUGGAAAAGCGGUGUGUAAAAAUCAGCAUCGACAAAAAAUAAAAACACCUUGAAAUGAG